rnacentral:tRNA from 2 species
UGUAAAAUAGUGUAAGGAGCACAUAAGCCUUUGAAGCCUAUAGAUUAGGUUCAAUUCCUAAUUUUACAA